CGGCGGGGCUGGGCACCGCGCAGCGGGCCCCGGGACGGGGGCGACGUCGGGGGGGCCCCGGGGGUCCCAGCGCCCCCGCCCGCUCCUGGGCGCUGCCCCCGGGGCAGAAACCGGGGCCCGUGCGGGCGGAGCCGCCGAGGCCUCCCGGGACUUUCCCUACCGGGCAGUGGCACCGACCCCGGGGGUGGCCCCGGGGCUGCGACCCCCGUCCGGCUGCGGAGAAAGUGCCCGGCACCGGGCGGGCGGCACGGGGAGCGCCCCCCGCCGCCCCGUGGGCACGCACCGCCGCCUGGGACCUCGCCCGCUGGGCCCCCACCGUGGCACGGCGCACCGGCACCUCUCUGCUCCGGGCACACGCGGUCCGUGCACGCUGCCCCGCCCGGGCACGGGCACGCUGGGUGCCGCCCGCCCGCCGUGUGUGCGCGCCCGCCGCGUGUCCUGAAAAACAACCCCAGAAAUCAACGAAAGCACCGAACGAAAAGCGGCCCCCGGCAGCAGGCACGCACCCGGCCGAACCAAUUCCCGAACAAACAAAAGCAAAAAAGCAAAAGAACGAGAGAAAAAGGAGAAAGCCCCCAGCACCAGCCAGCGGGGAGCGGUGCGCAGCUGCACAGCACCCACCCACGCGCGGCCGCCCCGUGUCCGUGCCGAGCGGCGCCGUGCCCGUGCAGCUCCCCGUGGCCGUGCCCAGCCGUGCCCAGCCGUGCCCAGCCACCCGCCCCGUGCACACUCACGGCGUCUCCGUGCAGUCGCCUCGAGCCGCUGUGAAGCCCUGCGCACUCACACCUUGCACACUCACCCCGUGUCCGUGCACGCUUACAGCGACAGUGCACACCGGCACCGUGUCCGUGCACGCUUACAGGGUGUCCGUGCACACCGGCACCGUGUCCCUGCACACUUACACCGUGUCUUUUCACACUUACACUGCCCGUGCACACCGACACCGUGCCCGUGCACUGAGCCCGUGUCCGUUUACCCCGUGCAGUUGCCCCGUGUCGUGCACGCUCCCAGCGUGUCCGUGCACACUCACACCGUGUCCUUGCACUUUUCCCGUGCCCAUCCACUGCUCGCACAGUCACCGGGGACCGGGCACACCGACGCCGUGGCCGUGCACAGCCGCAGCACACGCGCGUCCCCCGGAUUUCCCCAGUGUCCCCACGCGGCCAGGCACGCUUUCUGUCCGGGCACGUUUACUCGGUGGCCGUGCACAUUUGUCGCGUAGCCGUGCACCUUCCCCCCGUGUUCGUGCUCGGUUCCCCCGUGUUCGUGCACAUUUUCCCAUGUCCGUGCGCGGUCCCCGUGUCCGUGCACAGUUCCCCAGUGGCCGUGCAAGGCCCCCGUGUCCGUGCACGUUUUCCCCGUGUUCGUGCACGUUCCCCGUGUUCAUGCACAGUUCCCCCGUGUCCGUGCAGAGUUCCCCCGUGCCUGUGCCCGGUCCCCGUGUUUGUGCAGUUUCCACGUGUCCAUGCACGGUUCCCAUGCCCGUGCACAGUUCUCCCGUGUUUGUGCACGGUUCCCUCGUAUCCGUGCACGGUCCCCGUUUUUGUGCACGGUUCCCUCGGGUCUGUGCACAGUCCCCGGGGCCGUGCACACAUUCCCCGCUUCCGUGCACAGUUCUCCCGUACCCGUGCACGAUCCCCGUGUUUGUGCACAGUUCCGCCGUGUCCAUGAACGGUCCCCGUGUUCAUGCACAGUUCCCCCAUAUCCACGCACAUUUAUUCCGGGGCCAUGCACGCUUCCCCCGUGUCCGUGCACGGUCCCCGUAUUCAUACACAGUUUCCCCGUGUCCGUGCACGGUCCUCGUGUUCACGCACAGUUCCCCGUGUCCAUGCACAGUUCCCCCAUCCAUGUCCACGCACAGUUCCCCCAUGUCCAAGCGCAUUUAUUCCGGGGCCGUGCACCUUUCCCCCUUGCACGUGUCCGAUCUCCUUAUUUUUGCACAGUUCCCUCACGUCCGUGCCCGGUCCCCGUGUCCAUGUACAAUUCCCCCACGCACUGCACAGUUCCCCCAUGUCCACGCACAUUUAUUCCGGGGCCGUGCACGAUCCCCGUGUCCGUGCACCUUUCCCCCGUGUCCAAGCACAUUUAUUCCGGGGCCGAGCACCUUUUCCCCGUGUCCAUGCCCGGUCCUCGUGUCCAUGCACAGUUCCCCCAUCCACGUCCAUGUACAAUUCCUCCAUGCACUGCACAAUUCCCCCAUGUCCACGCACAUUUAUUUCGGGGCCGUGCACGAUCCCCGUGUCCGUGAACCUUUCCCCCGUGUCUGUGCACGGUCCCCGUGUCCAUGCAGUUCCCCCGUGUCCAUGCCCAGUUCCCCCAUCCACGUCCAUGCACGGUUCCCCCAUGUCNN
ensembl:lncRNA